rnacentral:tRNA from 1 species
CGUUCGCGUGGACUGCGGGUGCGAUCGGGAAAAUCCAUCUGUCCGCAGAUGGCGUCGGCAACCAUCUGCAGCAGUUCGUCCUUGUUGCGGACAU